UGCCGUGUGCGGUCUUCGUUUCAAACAGUUUGACGGGGGAUGUCCCCGGUUUUUUGUAAGUAAGGAAAAUACACAUGGCAACUGGUACCGUAAAGUGGUUCAACGACGCAAAGGGCUUCGGCUUCAUUACUCCUGAUGAUGGUAGCGAAGACCUGUUCGCGCACUUCUCCGCGAUCAACAUGAGCGGCUUCAAGAGCUUGAAGGAAGGCCAGAAGGUUUCCUUCGAAGUUGUCCAAGGCAACAAGGGCAAGCAAGCUUCCAACAUCCAAGCCGCCUAAUCAGCGCACUUGAAUGUAAAAAACCCGCCGCAAGGCGGGUUUUUUGUU
rnacentral:sRNA from 1 species